CCUACGGGGUGCUGCAGUGGGGAAUAUUGGACAAUGGGCGAAAGCCUGAUCCAGCCAUGCCGCGUGUGUGAAGAAGGCCUUCGGGUUGUAAAGCACUUUCAGUGGGGAAGAAAGCCUUGGGGCUAAUACCCUCGAGGAAGGACAUCACCCACAGAAGAAGCACCGGCUAACUCCGUGCCAGCAGCCGCGGUAAUACGGAGGGUGCGAGCGUUAAUCGGAAUUACUGGGCGUAAAGCGCGCGUAGGCGGUCUGAUAAGCCGGUUGUGAAAGCCCCGGGCUCAACCUGGGAACGGCAUCCGGAACUGUCAGGAUAGAGUGCAGGAGAGGAAGGUAGAAUUCCCGGUGUAGCGGUGAAAUGCGUAGAGAUCGGGAGGAAUACCAGUGGCGAAGGCGGCCUUCUGGACUGACACUGACGCUGAGGUGCGAAAGCGUGGGUAGCAAACAGGAUUAGAUACCCCAGUAGUC
rnacentral:rRNA from 1 species